AAUGGGCGAAAGCCUGACGGAGCAAUACCGCGUGAGGGAGGAAGGCUCUUGGGUUGUAAACCUCUUUUCUCAGGGAAGAACAGAAUGACGGUACCUGAGGAAUAAGCAUCGGCUAACUCCGUGCCAGCAGCCGCGGUAAUACGGAGGAUGCAAGCGUUAUCCGGAAUGAUUGGGCGUAAAGGGUCCGCAGGUGGCAUUGUAAGUCUGCUGUUAAAGAGUUUGGCUCAACCAAAUAAGAGCAGUGGAAACUACAAAGCUAGAGUGUGGUCGGGGCAGAGGGAAUUCCUGGUGUAGCGGUGAAAUGCGUAGAUAUCAGGAAGAACACCAGUGGCGAAGGCGCUCUGCUAGGCCGAGACUGACACUGAGGGACGAAAGCUAGGGGAGCGAAUGGGAUUA
rnacentral:rRNA from 1 species